GGUAGGGGUGCUUUUAUUGGUCCAAGACCAUUCGCCCGGUUCUCCGGGCGUCUCCUUGAUGAAUCCAAAUAACAAAUCAGAUCGCAUGGUCUUUGUACCGGCGACUUAUCUUUCAAAUGCCUGACUUAUCAACUGACGAUGGUAGACUCUGUGUCUACCAUGGCUCCUACGGGUAACGGGGAAUCAGGGUUCGAUUCCGGAGAGGGAGCCUGAGAAACGGCUACCACAUCCAAGGAAGGCAGCAGGCACGCAAAUUACCCACUCCCGGCACGGGGAGGUAGUGACAAAAAAUAACGAUACGGGACUCAUCCGAGGCCCCGUAAUCGGAAUGAGAACACCCUAAAUCCUUUAACGAGGAUCUAUUGGAGGGCAAGUCCGGUGCCAGCAGCCGCGGUAAUUCCGGCUCCAAUAGCGUAUAUUAAAGUUGUUGCGGUUAAAAAGCUCGUAGUUGGUUCUGCGUGCCGCGCUGUCGGUUCACCGCCUGCCGGUGCAACUGGCAUGCCGCGGCAUGUCCUGUCGGUGGCGGACAGGCCUCCCGGCGUGCCCUACGCGUUUAACAGCGUGUAGGCCGCCGCGCCGGGUCGUCCUUGAACGCCGGCUCAAUCCUACCGCGGUGCUCUUUACCGAGUGUCGAGGUAGGCCGACACUGUUUACUUUGAACAAAUUAGAGUGCUUAAAGCAGGCUCUUAAAUCAGCCUGAAUAGUGGUGCAUGGAAUAAUGGAACAGGACCUUGGUUCUAUUUUGUUGGUUUUCGGACCAUCCAAGGUAAUGAUCAAUAAGGACAGGCGGGGGCAUUCGUAUUGCGGCGUUAGAGGUGAAAUUCUUGGAUCGUCGCAAGACGCACUAGAGCGAAAGCAUUUGCCAAGUAUGUCUUAAUUGAUCAAGAACGAAAGUUAGAGGUCCGAAGGCGAUCAGAUACCGCCCUAGUUCUAACCAUAAACGAUGCCAGCCAGCGAUCCGCCGAUGUUCCUCCGAUGACUCGACGGGGAGCUUUCCCCGGGAAACCAAAGCUUUUGGGUUCCGGGGGAAGUAUGGUUGCAAAGCUGAAACUUAAAGGAAUUGACGGAAGGGCACCACCAGGAGUGGAGCCUGCGGCUUAAUUUGACUCAACACGGGAAACCUCACCAGGUCCGGACAUUGGAAUGAUUGACAGAUUGAUAGCUCUUUCUCGAUUCAGUGGGUAGUGGUGCAUGGCCGUUCUUAGUUGGUGGAUCGAUUUGUCUGGUUAAUUCCGAUAACGAACGAGACUCUGGCCUAUUAACUAGACGUUACUGGUAUCGUAGCUACCAGCGACCAUAUCUCUUCUUAAGGGGACAGGCGGCUUUUAGCCGCACGAGAUUGAGCAAUAACAGGUCUGUGAUGCCCUUAGAUGUCCUGGGCCGCACGCGCGCUACACUGAAGGAAUCAGCGUGUGAAUUCCCUUGGCCGAAAGGUCCGGGUAACCCGCUGAACCUCCUUCGUGCUAGGAAUUGGGGCUUGCAAUUGUUCCCCAUGAACGAGGAAUUCCCAGUAAGCGCGAGUCAUAAGCU
rnacentral:rRNA from 1 species